rnacentral:rRNA from 1 species
GCGUCUGAUAAGGUAGUCGGCGGGGUAACGGCCCACCGAGCCGACGAUCAGUAGGGUUCUGAGAGGAAGGUCCCCCACAUUGGAACUGAGACACGGUCCAAACUCCUACGGGAGGCAGCAGUGAGGAAUAUUGGUCAAUGGGCGGUAGCCUGAACCAGCCAAGUAGCGUGAGGGAAGACGGCCCUAUGGGUUGUAAACCUCUUUAGUCGGGGAAUAAAGUUCGCGACGUGUCGCGUUUUGUAGGUACCCGAAGAAUAAGGACCGGCUAAUUCCGUGCCAGCAGCCGCGGUAAUACGGAAGGUCCUGGCGUUAUCCGGAUUUAUUGGGUUUAAAGGGAGCGCAGGCGGCCCUGUAAGCGGGCAGUGAAAUGUCGGAGCCCAACUCCGUCACUGCUGUCCGAACUGCUGGGCUUGAGUGCGCGCGAGGGAAGCGGAAUUUGUGGUGUAGCGGUGAAAUGCUUAGAUAUCACGAAGAACUCCGAAUGCGAAGGCAGCUUCCCAGAGCGCAACUGACGCUAAAGCUCGAAAGUGCGGGUAUCGAACAGGAUUAGAUACCCUGGUAGUCCGCACGGUAAACGAUGGAUGCCCGCUGUUCCGGCGUUUGUUUGGAGCGGCCAAGAGAAAUCGUUAAGCAUCCCACCUGGGGAGUACGCCGGCAACGGUGAAACUCAAAGGAAUUGACGGGGGCCCGCACAAGCGGAGGAACAUGUGGUUUAAUUCGAUGAUACGCGAGGAACCUUACCCGGGCUUGAAUUGCAGUAGAACGAUACAGAGAUGUUGAGGCCCCUUCGGGGGCGUGCUGUGAAGGUGCUGCAUGGUUGUCGUCAGCUCGUGCCGUGAGGUGUCGGCUUAAGUGCCAUAACGAGCGCAACCCCUCUCCGUAGUUGCCAUCGGGUGAUGCCGGGCACUCUGCGGACACUGCCACCGCAAGGUGUGAGGAAGGUGGGGAUGACGUCAAAUCAGCACGGCCCUUACGUCCGGGGCUACACACGUGUUACAAUGGGGGGCACAGAGGGACGCCGCCGGCAACGUCGGUCCAAUCCAUAAAUCCCCCCUCAGUUCGGACCGGGGUCUGCAACCCGACCCCGCGAAGCUGGAUUCGCUAGUAAUCGCGCAUCAGCCAUGGCGCGGUGAAUACGUUCCCGGGCCUUGUACACACCGCCCGUCAAGCCAUGAAAGCCGGGGGCGCCUGAAGUCCGUGACCGCGAGGGUCG